GGAGUGGAGUGGAGAAGGAGGCUGACAGAAACGAGCAGCAGACUGGGCGCCGGACCAAGGACCAGAACACAAAAUACCCAGGGGAAGAAGCCCGGACGCGAUGCUACACGCCGCACAAGAGCUAUUCGCACAGACAUGCUUACGAUCCAAGCAAGUGGCUGGAGCAAGCGGGAGGCAGAACACCUUGACCGGACAUUGGCAAAAAGAUACAUCAAGACUGUACAGAGGAUUCCAGAAGCAUCAACGGACCUUCAAAAUCUUACCGCCGAGUUGUCUAUUCACGAAGUCACAGUACAGCAUUAGGUGUGUGAUGUUCAGCACUGGACCAUAGGUAGUAUGGGGAGAAGAUAAUUGUGCAUUAUGCCUAUUUACAGAAUAUUCCUCACUAAUUGGAAAUAACAUCAAUUGAAAAUGGUUUAAAGUAUUUUGUUCCCAUUGUAGCUCUGUGGUCAAAUUUACACUUACACAAUACUAUUGAGUCCUCCCUCCUUGCCCAC